GCUAUAUGCUUGACAUAUGCAAGUCAAACGUUGUUUUCGGGGAGCUGGGCAGAAGGAAAAAGAGGCUCUUAGCUAAAGGUAGCUUGUCUCACCUGGGAGGUGAGAACUGUUAAGAACAAAGUGGCAAACGGGUACGUAACACGUGUGAAUCUACCGAACAGUUCCGGCCAAAUCCUUAAGAAAGCUAAAAAGCACUUUUUGAUGAGCUAGCGUAGUGUUAGGUAGUUGGUCAGGUAAAGGCUAACCAAGCCAAUGAUGCUUAGUUGGUAUUUUCAGAUGAUUAGCCACACUAGGACUAAGACAUGGCCCGGACUCUCACGGGGGGCAGCAAUGGGGAAUGCUCCUCUAUUUCAUAAUUGGGGCAUCAUGGC
rnacentral:ncRNA from 1 species